UAAUGCACAAUGGGGGAAACCCUGAUGCAGCGACGCCGCGUGAGUGAAGAAGUAUUUCGGUACGUAAAGCUCUAUCAGCAGGGAAGAAAAAAAGUCCUUUGGACUUUGGACGGUACCUGACCAAGAAGCCCCGGCUAACUACGUGCCAGCAGCCGCGGUAAUACGUAGGGGGCAAGCGUUAUCCGGAUUUACUGGGUGUAAAGGGAGCGUAGACGGUGAUGUAAGUCUGGAGUGAAAGGCGGGGGCCCAACCCCCGGACUGCUCUGGAAACUAUGUGACUGGAGUGCAGGAGAGGUGAGCGGAAUUCCUAGUGUAGCGGUGAAAUGCGUAGAUAUUAGGAGGAACACCAGUGGCGAAGGCGGCUCACUGGACUGUAACUGACGUUGAGGCUCGAAAGCGUGGGGAGCAA
rnacentral:rRNA from 1 species